rnacentral:misc_RNA from 1 species
UACGUAGGUGGCAAGCGUUGUCCGGAUUUACUGGGCGUAAAGAGCGCGCAGGCGGCCGAGUAAGUCGAAUGUGAAAUCCCCCGGCUCAACUGGGGAAGGUCAUUCGAUACUGUUCGGCUUGAAGAUAGGAGAGGGAAGCGGAAUUCCCGGUGUAGUGGUGAAAUGCGUAGAUAUCGGGAGGAACACCAGUGGCGAAGGCGGCUUUCUGGCCUAUUCUUGACGCUGAGGCGCGAAAGCUAGGGGAGCGAACGGG